GGUCUCGUAAUCUGCAGGCUGCAUCAUAAGUCAGGUGUUCAUAACCUGGGAAGAACCUGUCUGAUCUACUCCUCAGUUUUUUUUCUUCGAUCCUGCCGAAGGGUUUUGACCCGAAAUGUCAACUGUACUUUUCCCCAUAGAAGCUGCCUGACCUACUGAGCUUCCCCAGCAUCUUGCGUGUGUCGCUCGGAAUUCCAGCAUCUGCAGAUUUUUUGUUACUUCCACCACCUCCAACGGGAUCCCACUACCAAGCACAUCUUUCCCUCCCCCCCUUUCUGCUUUCCACAGGGAUCGCUCCCUAUGUGACUCCCUUGUCCAUUCUUCCCAAGCUGGAUGAGAGAAACCUUGAGGAUACAAAAUUUGUCCUCAUGCAUUUGCACCUCCAUAGACCAUUAACUGUGAACCUAUUUUGCAAAGGACUGGAGUUUUUCACCAAGUUCAAAGUAAAUUUAUUAUCUAAGUACAUAUAUAUGUCACCAUAUACAACCCUAAGAUUCAUUUUCUUGUGGCCAUUCACAGUAGAUACAAAAAAGAGCAAAAGAGUCAAUGGAAAACUGCACACAGGACAAACAACCAAAGUACAAAGGCAACAAACUGUGCAAAUAUAAAAAGAGAAAAAAAUAAUAACUAUUGAGAACGUAAAUUGUAGGGCCCUUGAAAAUGAUCAUAGAUAAUGAAAUCAGUUUAGUGGUGGAAUGAGUGAAAUUAUCCACUCUGGAAAACAAAUGGUUAAAUUCUGAAACUCGUGACAACUUACCGUGCAUCUCCUUGAGCCUUGAUGUUGCAGGUUGAAUUAAUUAAGAAUUUUAAUGUCAUAAAGAUUCCUUUAGUCAGCAGAUGUGGAGCAGUAAGCCACAAGCAAAGUGAUUUAUGUGAAAGCAUUCACAUUUCUUCAUGCACGGUGGAGCUGAGCUUUGAAAUGCUGCCUCCCCGAACGCUGUGACUUUGAAAUUCAUAGUUUUAUUACAAAGUAAAUCGAGAAUGGACAGACGGAGUUGAGAUACUGGCGAGUACUGGAAUGAAGGAAGGUUGGAGGAGCUGAAUGGCUCACUCAUGUGCAGAAUGGGAACUAAAUCAGGCUUCGGAAGUGAAAGCACUGUAGGUGAAGUCAACAAAGGGUUUACAGAAUCGAGGAGUGGCAGAGCUGCCAUGUGCCAUAGGUUUGCCACCCCUGCAGCAUCACAGCGGAUGCAAAACCAGCACCACAGUCGUUGCACUGAUCUGCAAUAUUGUACCCAGCUUUGUUUGGGAAUUACACCAAAGUGCUCAAAGACUUACAAACAGUGGUAUCUUUAAGAAGUAUAUUGGUUUCAUCACUCUGUAAGGUACACAGUGGUGAGUAUCCUGACUGGUUGCCUAGAGUGGAAAAAAUGACGUUCAGUAACAGAAAAGUCUACAAACAGUGAUGGACACAACCCAGUCCAGGCAUUGAGCACGUCUGCAAGGAGAGCUGCCACAAGAAAGCAGCAAAGACCCCCACCACCCAGGACAUGAUCUGCCAUCAGGAAGAAGGUACAGGAGCCCCAGGACACACAACACCAACACUUAUUAACCUUCAACCAUCAGGCUUCCGAACCAGUGUGGAUAACUUCACACACCUUAACUCUGAAUGGAUUCCACAACCUUUGGACUCACUUUCAAGCACUGCACAACUCAUGUUCUCAGUAUUUGUUUGUUUGUUUAUUUAUCUAUUUAUUAUUUAUGCAGUUUGUCUUCUUUUGCACAUUAGUUGCCAGUCUUUGUGUGUAAUUUUCCAUUGAUUCUGAUGUAGUUCGCCAUUGCACUGUGAAUGCCUGCAAGAAAAUAAAUCUCAAGGUGCAGUAGUAUAUGGUGACAUACGCAUACUCUGAUCAUAAAUUUACUUUGAACUUUGAACAGGUAAGUUCUAAUGAUGAAGGGUCUCAGCCCACAAUGUCGCUGUUUAUUCCUCUCCUGACUUUCUGAGUUCCUCCAGCAUUUUGUAUGGGCUGCUCAAGAUUUCUAACAUCUCUUGGGUGUUUAAGUUCUUAUUUGUCACAUCUGUAUGUUAUAUAAAGUGAACCAAACCUAAAAGUUAAUGUUUUAUUUUUAGUUAAUACUUGAGCUAUCAUUCAUCCAAUUGACUGUAAGGGGUUUCACAGCUGGUGAUGCUUGAUCUGAAGGAAUUUAUUCUUGUUUGAGAUAUUUUUCAUGACAUACUCCUGAGGAUGUUAUAUGCUCUUUGUGUUAUUUGACCUUCUAUCAGGGAGUGAACUUCCAAGUCCACCAGAGGGGUUGAGAAAUCAGCAAUGGAGAUGAAAUUUGCAGGAAUGUGGGAUGUUUCUCUGCAGCUGCAUGUAGGGCGUACAUCAGAUGUGGGAAGUUAUCAUUCUUUCAGUUGUCUGCAAAGAAUGAAAUUGAUGGAAAAUGCAGAUGUGAAUUUCCUGGUUUGUUGAGAAUAAAGCCAUGUUUCUCUUGGGCUUGCCAUGGGAUAUCUAAAGCAUGAAUAACAUACCAUUCCUUGUCUGGAAACAAGAAAAAAAUCAUCUCUUAACAAAUGAUUUCAAAUCAUUCAUUCUAUGUAAAAAUGGCUUGUAGCUACAACCAGAUCAGCUCCAGUUAUCGCUUCCUUUGUGUCUGAAUUUAUCGAUGUUACUUUAACAUUUUAGCCUAAGUAAAUUCUCAUUUAAUGUAUUCAAGUGUGUUCAAUACUAUGUACAUUGCAGAUUGAUCUGGGGAAGUGGUUAUCGUGCUUGGUUUGUUUAUAAACAUGUACAGAUGGAAAGAUAUGAAUCCAAUAGAUCAUGGCAGAACUUGACAGACUCAUGGAGUGUCUCUGUAAAUGUUUACAGGAUUUUAAAACUACAGGCAACUCACAUCGAUCUCAUUAACUGGCCCCAACUUCAAUGCUUGUCAAUGAUAAGCUCAUUUUAUACAAUGUAAGUAUGUUAUCAAACCUGUAAUGAAAGAUUAAGAUGAUAUUUGCUUAAAGUACAACAAGUACACAGUAUAAAUGUUCACAAUGAAUCUUGCCCCAUGAAGACAGAAUUCAAUACUUCUGGAAGAGUCAGAUAAAGUUUAUCAAGGUAUGAGGAUGAUGCACAUGGAUAGAAAGACUGAAUAAAGUUUGAAAUUAAAAUUGCUUUUAUUUUUAUUUGGAAUUAACUUUUUAAACAGUUACAUUUUUUGAACAAUUUUCAACUUCUGGAAAAAUUUCUGAACAUCAUGUGGAGAGCGACAAGACCUUAAUGCUGCACAGAACAUCAGGAGGGCAACUGGGAGGGUUUUUAUUGCCUGCUACCUGCAUCCUGGUCUCUGCUGACUAACUGUUCUGCCCAGUGGCAUGGCUGCAGCACCGAGGUGGACGGGGAGCUGCCUGGCUACAAAAGGUGCAUGUCACUGCAGACAUCACACAGGAAACGAAAGUGGGGCAGCAGUGCUCUCAAUUAGCAAUGAUGACGUUAUCAUAUGACUAUAAGACACAAGAGCAAACUUAGGCCACCAUUCUCCACCAUUCCAUCAUAGCUGAUUUCUUUUCCCUCACAACCCCAUUCUCCUGCCUUCCAUAUCCUUUGAUGCCCUUACUAAUCAUUUUAAUUUCCAUUUUAAAUAGACCCAAUGACUUGGCCUCCACAGUCAUCUGUGGCAAUGAAUUCCACAGAUUCACCAUCCUCAGGCCAAAGAAAUUCCUCCUCAUCUUUGUUCUAAAUGGAUGUCCCUCUAUUUUGAGGCUGUGCCCUCUGGUCCUAGACUCGCCCACUAUAGGAAAGAUCCUCUCUAUGUCCAACAACAACACACACAAAAUGCUGGUGGAACACAGCAGGCCAGUCAGCGUCUAUAGGGAGAAGCGCUGUCGACGUUUCGGGCCGAGACCCUUCGUCAGUAGUCUUGAUGCUGCCUGGCCUGCUGUGUUCCACCAGCAUUUUGUGUGUGUUGUUGUUUGAAUUUCCAGCAUCUGCAGAUUUCCUCGUGUUUGCUCUCUAUGUCCACUCUUUCUAGGUUUCAAUGAAAUCUCCCCUCAUUCUUCUAAACUCCAGCAAGUACAGGCCUAGAGCCAUCAAACGCUCCUCAAACAUUAACCCUUUUCUUCCAGAUAUUAUUCUUGUGAACCUCAUCUGGACCAAUUUAGCUCUUCUUAGAUAAGAUGCUCUAAACUGCUCACAAUGCUCGGUAAUGUCUGACCAAUGCCUUAUAAAGCCUCAGCUUUACAUCUUUGUUUUUAUAUUCUAGUCCACUCAAAUUGAAUGCUAAGAUUACAUUUGACUUCCUCACCACUAACUCAACCUGCAAGUUAACCUUUAAGAAAUGCUGCACAAGGACUCCCAAGUCAUUUACACCUCCUAUUUUUGAAUUUGUUCCCUGUUGAGAAAAUAGUCUACAUCUUUAUUCCUCCUACCGUCGUGCAUGACCAUACACUCUCUACACAUAUUCCAUCUGUCACUUCUUUGCCCAUUCCAUUCUCCCAUUCUUUCCAAGUCCCUCUGCAGACUCCCUGCUUCAUCAACAUUAUCUGCCCUUCCACCAAUCUUGGUUUCAUCUGCAAACUUGGUCACAAAGCCAUCAAUUUUAUCAACCAAAUCAUUAGCAAGUAACAUGAAGUGUAGUGGACCCAGCACCAACUCCUGUGGUACAUCACUAGUCACUGUUACCCAACCAGAACAAGCCCCCUUUAUUCCCACUCUUUGCCUUCUGCUCGUCUAUUGUGCUGGUAUCUUUCCUGUAAUACCAUGGGUUGUUUAUCUUUUUUGGCAGCCUCAUCUGUGGCACCAUGUCAAAGGCCUGAAACUCUGAGUGAACAAGAUCCACCGGCCAUCCCUUUUCUAUCCUGCCCAUUACUUCCUCAAAGAAUUCCAACAGUCAGGGAAGCCUUAAGGAAACCAUGCUGACUUUGGCCUACUUUAUCAUGUGCCUCCACAAUCAUAAUCAUAUCAUAAGCCUCGUCCUUACUAACAUAUUGCUUACCACUGGAGUCAGUUGAACUGGCCUCCAAGAUAUCAGUUGUGAAUGUUGCAGAUAGAUAGACCACUCUUGGAGUAUUGUCUGCAAUUCUGGUCACCAACUUACAGGAAGGAUAUGACCAAAAUAGAGAAGGUGCUGAAAGGAUUCAUUAGGAUUGGGCUGGGACUGGGUGGAGGGAGAGGGUGGAUAUGCUGGAGCAAUGAAGACUGAGGGAUGAACUUAUAGAAAUUAAUCAAAUCAUGAUGGAUAUAGAUGAGAGAGGUAGUCAUAGUCUUUUUCCCACAUUAAGGGAAACUAAAAUAGGAGGACAUAGGUGAGAUGGGAAAGACAUAAAGGGGAUCUAGGAAGCUUGCUUUUCAUACAGGGAGUGGUGGCUGUCUGAAAUGAGCUGGCAGAGGAAGAGAUAGUAUAUUAAGUCAGUAAAUGUUGUGUAUUUAAUAUUUCAGUAAUAUUUGAGUAACAUGUGUAAAUAUUACGUUAAUUUAACAUUCUUUGGUUAAAUAACUAAUUAUGGUUAUAUGUAGAAAUAUGUAAAUAACAUACAUUAUAACACUACCACGUGAUAUGUGCCGACCUCGCUUAAGGUAAAUUAAAGUUAGAGUUGCAUUCUGGGCUCCCUUGUUUUUCUUGCAAUUAGUUUUAUGUUUUGGAGUUACAGGGUCUAACAGUAAAAACUAAAUGAUGUUUAGAAAAAUCAAAUUCAGGGAAGAUAUCCUUCAAGGAAAGCUUCAGACUCCCUGCUGGAUUUAAGGACUGAACAGCGAAAGGAAUAACAAUUCUUUGCAACAUAAUGAAAGAAGGAACACUGGUCAGUUUUGAAAUGCUCAAAGAGAAACACUUGUUAGAAAAACAAGAUUUUUAUCGGUAUUUACAGAUGUGACAGUAUGUUAAUAGGACGGUUAAAAAUGUAAGCUAGGCAAAUAUAUGCUUGAUAGAGCUAUUUAGAAAAGCAUAUAAUUCAGAUAAUGGUAGUAGAAUCAUUUCAAGCGUGUAUAAGGGUUUGUCAAAUCUUGAAACACAUUCGACUUCAUACAUUAAAACAUAGAAGAAGGAAGAGGGAUAAUUGUAUCUGAGAAAAUGGACAAUAAUAGGGAGGUAUCAAUGGAAGUGUACCAGUUCACAGAAAUGGAGGGAGUUUGGAAAAACUUGAUAAGAUAUUUUAUUACACACUCUCAGAAAUCCCGUCAUGAUAGUAACAUCCCUGUUUGCUGGAGAAGUUGUGGAAAUCAAAAUGCAAACCAUUAUCAUAUUUUCUGGGAAUGCCCCGUUAUCAAAAACUAUUGGAGGAGGAUACACAAUGCCCUACACAACAUCUUUAAAUGUGAUAUACCCUUGGAAGACCAUAUAUUUUGGAUAUAUACUUCAAGAAUGGUUGAAAAGAGAUAAAUAUUUAAUGAAUAUGCUGUUGGUGGCUGGUAAAAAGGCCCUUACCAGGAAAUGGUUAUCACAGGAGAGCCCAACCUUAAAUACGUGGAUGGAAAUUACAACGGACAUUUAUCAAAUGGAGAAGAUAACAGCAGCUGUUAAUCAUAAGCUGAAACAGUUUGAUUCAUACUGGGUAAAAUGGUUUAACUACAUAAUGCCUCAUAGGCCUGAUUUUAUUCUCACAAGUCAAUGAAUAUGUUGUAAAAAGAACGAUCACUCCCUACUUGUAUAAAGUUUUCUUAUUUCGAUUAUUCUUUCUCUCCUGUCCUUUCUAUGAGUGUAUACCUCAGAUAAUUAUUAUGUGGAGAUUUGUGACAAAUAUAAUUAUGUGAUAUAUAUGUACAGUAUCUGAAAUACAUUUUAUGGAAAUGUUUAUAUGAUGAUAAAAAAAAUAAAUUACAAAAAAAAGAAAGCUUCAGACUUCCAAUUAAAGCUAUUAUAAUGUAAUUGGUUGAAUAAGCCAGCAGAUGGCGCCAAAACACCGGUCAGGCAAUGCAGAACAGGCAAUCAAUUAGAAAGAAAAUAGGGACACAAGAGAUUCUGCAGAAGCUGGAAAUCUCGAGCACUAUAGAGAGGAAUAAAGAGUUGAUGUUUUGGAACAAACCGUCUAGAUCCAAAAUAGUUACUGCUUAUUUCCCUCCAUAGAUUGCUGUCUGACUUGCUGAGUUCUUCUAGCAUGUGUGUUGCUGAGAAAGAAACUAGAAAAUCUGUCUCUUUUGAAGAUAGGGUGACCAGACAUCUUCGAUUAGUGAGGCAAAUAACCCAACCUAGUCCUGUGUUGAGUGAGUGUAGUACUGCAUUUAUCCCACAUCCUGGGUCUGCACGGUAGUGAAGGGCAGUGUAAUGGGUGACAGAUGACACAUACUGUUCAUAAUAGAAACUGUUCUUCAUAAUUCACAGGCAUCGUCUCUGAGUUCUGUUCACUUUAAGGGACAGUUUCUGACAUAAUGACUGAUUUUGGUUUGUUCGUGAUGGAAGUUAAGGGCUGUGGCAUUUGCUAUGCACAUUAAAUGACUCUCGCAUGUUUUAUUCACUAAAACCUAUGGCAGGGUAGUGGUUUGUGUGACUGAUCAGGGUUCAAUUCCCACACUGUCAGUUUAUUCUCCCCAUGACUGAGAGGUUUUCCUCUGUGCUCUACAGCUUCCUCCCACAUUCCGAAGACGUACAGUCAGGGUUAAUAAGUUGUGGGCAUGCUGUGUUGCUGAUUUGAUUUGAUGUAAAGGAUGCAUCUCACUGUAUGUUUCAAUGUAUGUGUGACAAAUAAAGGAAAUCUUUAAAACCUUUAAAUCUUUACAGUCUUUAUAGGCUUUGUAGCACUGUUCCCUCUAAGCUGUGCGGAGGUACAGCCAUGCAAUAACUGAAAUGCUUCCACACACAUAGCCUUUUUUACGGUACAGUUGGAAUUUUCUUUUAUAUAAUAUUAAUAUAAUUUUGAAAUUAUGCUCAUAUAAUUUUGAAAUCUAUACUUUAAUAUACAGUAAUUGUGA